AUCUAAUUGCAUUUAUAAUUAGUAAGACCUGCUCAAUGAACUUUAAAUAGCCGCGAUUUUCGUGCUAAGGUAGCAUAAUCAAUUGCCUUUUAAUUGAAGGCUGGAAUGAAAGGUUCUACAAAUAAAAUUCUUUAUUGUUUUUAUUUCUCUAAACUAAUUUAUAAAUAAGAAAGUUUAUAUUUUUAAGGAGGACGACAAGACCCUAUCGAGCUUUACUUUCAGUUUCACUGGGGAGGUGAGGAAAAAAGUACUUUUCAUUUUAUGAAAAAAAAAUACAGAAAGAGAUAUGAACUAGCUACCGUAGGGAUAACAGCACAAUUAAUUUUAGGAGAUCUCAUCUUAAAUUUAGAUUAUGACCUCGAUGUUGAAUUAAAGCACCUUUGGGUGAAGAAGCUCAAAAGGAAAGUCUGUUCGACUUUUAAAACUUU
rnacentral:rRNA from 1 species